AUUUGUUUUUGUUUUACUGGUGGUUUGCUUCACUUUUCCAACUUAAAAGGCAAUUUUAAAAUAUUAUCACAAAACAUUGUACAAAUGGCAAUUCUUCAUACCUUGAACUAUUUUACUACCUGUUAGUAUUCCUCAUCAUCCUCUGAUAGUUAAUUAUUAUGUGUUUAAUUCACAGUGUUCUAUUCUCCAUAUUUAUUUGAUGGACCCAGCUGGUGUUUACGUUUUAGUAUGCAAUACUAUUUGUAAAUGGGUUCAAAGGUUUUCAUUAUAUAUUGACAUAUCACAUUUACAAAUGCAUUUCUUUCUUCUCUUUAAAGAGAGAGACAAAGUCUAACAGGCAAUUGACUCAACAAACAUUUGUAACAUUUCCUUAUUUUCUAAUCAGAUGAAUUAUUCAUAAAUAUUUACACAAAAUAGCAGAAAUAUAAGCAGUGUCAGGGUGGGCUUCUAACAUAUAUGACAGCCUCGACAAUGAUCUAUGGAACAUUCCUGCCACAUUUCACAAAGAUUGGUCAAACAAUGUUGAUUUCUAUAAGGAACAUACACACACCUUCUAUUUGUACUCUAUAUAACAGAUAGUAGCAUGUCAUUAUACUGAACUUUGUGGGAUUACAUUAAAACCAUUUACUAAUAUAUAAGAAUUGAGCUAGAGCACUGACAGCUGGAUGGAUUGUGUUGUGUGGUAUGCACUUUAAACUACCAUCUCAUAGUCCCAAGCUCAAAUCCUGCCUGCUGUCAUCCCCUGCUGACCUGCAGGAGGUUAGGGUCAGGACAUAAUCAUCUUUUCUGAAGAAACAUCCAAAAUUUGUUAAACAAUGACUUCACUAUGUAGAGGAGUAAAUACAAUGUGAGAAUAUAGCAGGUUGUUUUCUUAUGGGUUCUUCUGACUUUCUAAAUGUACCAUGUGUGUAGUGCAUUCAUCAUUCCAUUCAUUAUGACCAGAGUUUUAUCACCAUAUUGUAUUACAAAUACAAGCAUUAUAGACCAUUCACAUUAGUUUUUUGUUUUCUUUCACUUAUCUAGUGUGUGUGUGUUUUUUUUAUUGACUUCAUUAUUCUAAGUUUGGAGGAAGGUUUGAUCAUUCUGGGUGUUUUUUUGUUCAUUAGAGUCAGUGAUACUAGACACAUUAUUUUAUUGAUGUUUGCUUCUUGUGUAUUUGAUCAUUUGGAUUUCAGUAUACUUAUCAUUGGUGUCUGUUUCAUUUAGUCAAUUUUUAAAAUCUUAUAUUUUUGCUAGGCAUUUUAUUUUGACUAUAGUAUACUGUAAAUGCCUUUUUAAUUGAAAAAAAAACAAACUUACAAGAUACUGUUUUUUACAUUGAAUUAAAACUCUGAUAUGAUGAUGUUUUUAUUUAUACAUUGCUGGUACCUUCCAAUAGCAUUAACUCACUACAACCAAUGGGAUCAAGAAAAAAAAGGGGGGGAAAAAUGACACCACCUAUGCACUUAAAUUUUUGUCAUUAACUUUAAAAUUCUUUUGUGCAAUUUAUAUUUAGUUGGUUUUUUUUAAAUUAAAUACUAUUUCUACAUUUUGUUUUUAUUAUUAUAUUUCCUUCUAGUAUAAACUGUAUAAACAUUGUGUUUUUUUUAAAUAUUUCAUUCUAGUAUAAACUGUAUAUAAUUCAUUGCCCCAUCAUCCAUUUUACAUGUUAUUAAGCAUUUUAGAAACUAUUCUGAAAUCUAACCUGCAGCCAUUCUUUAUUCUUGAUGACAUUUAGAAAAGCCCCUGCUCAGUUCAGUCCUUAUGAUCAAACAAGUUUUGUUUUUUUUUCAUUAAUUUUGUAUAGUCCAAAUGACUGCUCAUAAUAUUCUCAAGAUUUUUCAGACAAAAUAGUUUGGUUCUUAACAUGGUAUUAGAUUUGUCAGUGCAGAUAAAUAUUUUGUAUUGAGACAUUAAUCUUUAAUAAUGUCAGACUGAACAUGUUUAACAAGUUAAAGACAACUCAGUUCAACAGCUCAAUAAAGAGAUACUCAUUCUAAAGUCUCAUAUAGUUAAAAUCUUCUAAAGCUUUUUUUAGGGAUAUAUAUCUAAUAAGUCUAAAGACUACUUGCUAAAUAGGCAUACACAUUAAUUCAAUUUUUAAUUGGUAAGUUAAGCUAGUGUCUAGUGUAGUUUUCAACACCUAGAUGGUUUGUUAAUUUAUGAUCACAUCCUACUAUAACAUUGUCAAUCUGUGCCUGAGACACACAUGCUCAUACUAAUCAAUAUCCUAUCACACAAACUCCAUGUCCACAAGUUACAUAUUAAAGCUUGUCCGCAAUAACACCUACUUGACCACUACCAUAUGACCACCAAGUUCUAGGCCACUUGAAACUAUUACCAUGUGAUCACUCUGAACUCUUCUGUCUGUGACAUCUCUGCCCUAACUAAAUAACCAGCACGUCACUUGUUCCUCAAAUCUAUACUCUGUGACCAUUGCCAAGUACCUCAUGAUUAGGCUGCCCUCUUUAAGAAUUAGUAGCUACUGUUAACACCCUGACACAUCUGUGCCUGAUAUUGAACAUAAUUCAUGUGAUUUAUUUAUGAAACAUUUAUGUUACUAUGUAAUGAAUAUCAGAGAUUUCAAUGUAUAAGCUAUUUCAUAUGUUAUGUAUAAUAAAUGGACUUGAAAUCAUGAUUGUUUUCAGAUGUGUUCUAUUUGUAACCUUCUAUAGUUUGGAUUAGUUUCAUUUAACCUACAUAUUCAUGGCUUUGAAAGAAACACUUUACCUCUUAAAAUCUGUUACAUUUGUGGAAAGAGGUAGACUUGGCAUGUCCAGCCUUGGAAAGAGGAAGACUUGGCAUGUCCAGCCUUGGAAAGAGGUAGACUUGGCAUGUCCAGCCUUGGAAAGAGGUAGACUUGGCAUGUCCAGCCUUGGAAAGAGGUAGACUUGGCAUGUCCAGCCUGAAUUUAUCACAUUGUCUGUGAUUCAAGUGGUGUAAUGAUAUUAUAAUUAAUAUGCUAUGCUUUUAUUACCCAGCAUUUUCCCAUUCACUUUAAUAAAAUAUCACAUAAAAUUUUUAUUUUAUAAAGUAAUUAACUUAUAACUAAUAAGGGAACUAUUGAAUCUUCAAGUCAGUAUAAUUAAACUAAGGACUUCGGAGGCUCAGCUUUGGCUACAGAAUUGAAGUGUUUAAGUCAUGAUGAAAACCAGACUUUUAUGAAUGAUGGACUAUUCCUCUCCCAUGUUGGAGAGUGAAUAAAAGUGUUUCAUUGUUGGUUGUACUGUUCUCAACUAAAACCUUUGACCCUAGACAUGGAUACUUCUCUCUAUUCGACCUGACAGACUUUUAUGCAAUCUUUGGAUUUAAUUAUAAUUUAGGUACAAAAGAUUAGCUGUUGGGGAGAAAAAAUUUGCAUCUGCAUUAAAUUCAGUGAAACUGCUUCUAAUGACAGGUGAAGGCAUGUAGAUUCUCAAAAACCAAUAGAUUCAAGCAGAUAAAUUGUAUCAGCCUAGUAAGACGAUUCAUCUAAGAGAUCUGAACUGACCGAUUUGUAACUUUUCCUGCACUAAGGCUUCAUGAAUUAACCUUGACCAUAACCUAUUUUUGUAGCACCUCAGACAUUGGAACUCUCAACUAAGGUAUUACUCCAUUAUCCAGAUACUGAGUUAGUGCUUAAAGUAACAUUACUUUGGAUUGCACCAGUAAGGUUCAGAACCAUGACAUAUGGACAAUCCAUGAUUCUCUUACCUAAUGCCCAUUAAAAAGAAAUUCUUAUUCUGCUGCAGAACAGCUGGGCCAGUUGCUAGAGUGCAUCCAUUGUCUCUUGAGACAGAAGGAGCUAUAGAUAGUUGUUUACUUCUACAUAAAGAAUAAAACUAUGAGCAAGACAUUCAACGAAGUGGCAAUAAAAAUAUAGGAAGAAAAUUGUUCACUUUAUUUUGAAUCCUGGCAGUAAAGAAAAAAAAAAGCUAACAAAACUCAAUGCAACAUAACAGAAUAUGCUCCACAUGAAAAGUAGACCACAUAAUGAUAUGUGCAUCCCAUCUUAACUACUUGUAAGUUCUAUAGUGGACAACGUUUAUCAAAAAGUAAAAAAA
rnacentral:sRNA from 1 species